AGCCUUAGGAAAUAAUCUAAGGUUAUACCUGCCCAAUGUGAAAAUUUUAAUGAAUGGCCGCGGUACUUUGACCGUGCUAAGGUAGCGCAAUCAAUUGGUUUUUAAUUGGAGCCAGGAAUGAAUGGAGUUACGGGGUUUAACUGUCUCUUAUUUAAUUUAUCGAAAUUACUAUAUAGGUGAAAAAGCCUAUAGCUAGAAAAAAGACGAGAAGACCCUUAGAGUUUUACUAAAAUUGAGUUAAUUUCUCAUAACAGUUUAGUUGGGGCAACGUAGGAGCAUUGAAAGUUAAUCUCCUUAAAAUAAUUUAUCGAUUAUUUUAGUAUUGAAUAAACUACCUUAGGGAUAACAGCAUAAUUUUAUUAAUAAGUUUGUGACCUCGAUGUUGGACUGGGAAACUUAAUGGUUAGCCGCCUUUAAGGUAAGUUCUGUUCGAACUAUAAUUCCC
rnacentral:rRNA from 1 species